rnacentral:rRNA from 2 species
AACUUUCAACAACGGAUCUCUUGGUUCUGGCAUCGAUGAAGAACGCAGCGAAAUGCGAUACGUAGUGUGAAUUGCAGAAUUCAGUGAAUCAUCGAAUCUUUGAACGCACAUUGCGCCCUUUGGUAUUCCAAAGGGCAU